GGAGUGGAGCGCAGUCCUGAACGCCAGAUUUUCCCACUUGGUGAUCAGGACAGACCACAGACGGCUGAUCAUGGAGCCUCUUCUAAGCUGGGUUUUCCUCCUUACUGUUUUCAAAGGUGUCCAGGCUGAGGUGCAGCUGCUGGAGACCGGGGGAGGUUUGGUGCAGCCCGGAGGCUCCCUGAGGCUCUCCUGCGUGGCCUCAGGAUUCAACUUCGGGGGCUAUCUCAUGAACUGGAUCCGCCAGGCUCCGGGGAAGGGGCUGGAGUGGAUCGCCUACAUCAGUAGUGGUAGUAGUUACAUAUACUACCCAGACUCCGUCAAAGGUCGUUUCACCAUCUCUAGAGAUAACAGCCAAAACACCCUGUAUCUGCAAAUGAACAGCCUGAGAGCCGAGGACACAGCCGUGUAUUACUGUGCAAGAGACACAGUGAGGGAACAUCAAUGUGGAGCCCGACACAAACUUUCCUGCAAUGACGCUCAUAACCAGCAGGGGCAGCUGUUGUACAGGAAGAACCAGCCAGGGCCCCAGGAACAGGUGCAGAGAAGGACACUGUGGUGA